rnacentral:rRNA from 1 species
UUAGGAAUCUUCCACAAUGGGCGAAAGCCUGAUGGAGCGACGCCGCGUGAGGGAUGACGGUCUUCGGAUUGUAAACCUCUGAACUAGGGACGAAAGACGGUUUGCCGGGAUGACGGUACCUAGGUAAUAGCACCGGCUAACUCCGUGCCAGCAGCCGCGGUAAUACGGAGGGUGCGAGCGUUAUCCGGAAUCACUGGGCGUAAAGGGCGUGUAGGCGGGACGUUAAGUCGGGUUUUAAAGACCGCAGCGCAACUGCGGGAGUGGACUGGAUACUGGCGUUCUAGACCUCUGGAGAGGUAACUGGAAUUUCUGGUGUAGCGGUGGAAUGCGUAGAUACCAGAAGGAACACCAAUGGCGAAGGCAGGUUACUGGACAGAAGGUGACGCUGAGGCGCGAAAGUGUGGGGAGCAAACC